GUUCGGAUUGUAGGCUGCAACUCGCCUACAUGAAGUUGGAAUCGCUAGUAAUCGCGAAUCAGAAUGUCGCGGUGAAUACGUUCCCGGGUCUUGUACACACCGCCCGUCACACCACGAGAGUUUACAACACCCGAAGUCAGUGGCCUAACCGCAAGGAGGGAGCUGCCUAAGGCGGGGUAGAUGAUUGGGGUGAAGUCGUAACAAGGUAUC
rnacentral:rRNA from 1 species